GUAAAUGUAUUGUAUAACUAAAAUGUACCAAUAAAAGAAUUUUUAAGAAUAAAUAAAUAGGAAAAAUAAAGUCAUUUCUAUUAUUUUUGGAAGCACUGUGAUCAUCUGGCAAGACAAUUCCCUUCCCAGUUGCCACAAUAUAGGGGAGAUUUCAUACUGGUAAUAUGUGGCAGCAGCAGGCUACUGUGAGAGUUCAGUCUGGUCAUUAAUAAUUGUAGCAGCCAAAAAUUAUGCGUGAGUGAUAAAGCAUAGCUUCUCCAUUUUACAGAUGGAAAAGUCCGGCAAAUUCCCAAGGUCAAAAUGAGUGGGAAAGCCAUAUUUCAAAGGGAGACGUGUGGCAUCGCAGCUCUGCUCCCAGUCUAAGCAAGUCACUUCAUCUUUGUAAACUUGUUGGGCCUGCCCACCUAGUUCAUCCUCAGCCUGUGUUAGAAAGUCGUUUCAUAAACCAUACCCUAUGGUCUUAUUCAAGACCACAAGGCCAGAAAUCUAUUGCUGAUAGGGAUGGAGUUUGAGUCAUUUCUAAACACCCAGGACAGGCAGUGAGGGAACUUUUCUUGACUAUGUACAUUGGGAAAUUUCUUAAGAGAAUGAGCAGCGUCUCCAGAGCUUUUGGAAAUUGAUUUGCUUGUGUCACUGCUUCAUGAAGGCCCUAAAGUCUGCCUACCCUGCGUGGCUCGUCCCGGACAGACUUUCCAGGGUUCCCCAGCAUGGCCCCCGUCGUUCCCUGUGCUGGACCCACCUUCUCUCUCUGCUGGGAGUGCUCCACCUGGUUCCUCAAGGGUGCUUCUCAAGGGUUCCUUCCCCGUGAAGUCCCCUCUCUCUGCAUCCCAGGGAAAGCGAGUCUGCUGUGUUCCCAGGAGCCGGUCACCCUGGGCUGUCACACCAGGCAGGGCAUUGGUAUCAUUCGCCUCAUGUCUCCCAGGCCCAGGACCACGGUUUACUGACCUUUGUGUCUGUCAGGAACCCGCGCAUUCUACAGUACACCGCAAAUCUCACACAGCAAGUGUUAAAGGGGUGAACAUUUGAAUGGUGUAGUUUGUUUUUCUUUUUUUAAUUAGAGUUGGAUUGUGCAAAGCCAUCUCACUGGUUUUUGGUGGACCAGCCUAGGCAUUUCUGGUCCUUCCUAGUGAUAGAGACAUGAACUUGAACAAAUGGCCUGCCGUCAUACACACGCGGACACUCUGCUCUCGUCGCUAGUGUGACAGGAGUCAUACUUAAGAAUGUGAUCUGGCAUCGGAGAAAGAAAACAAUCAAGCACCAGUAAGGACCAAGUGGCAACCGCAUUGCUGUGAGAGAGGCCCAGAGUGAGGCCCUUGGCUUCCUGUCGUCCUACCUGAGUGUGCAGCCAAGGUGAACUCGCCGCACUGGACAGUUAGUACGGUCCACUCCCCAUCUCUCAGUUGUCUGCCCUUCUGCACGGUACUGCCUUCCCCUCCAGACCUUCUGCAGGGAUUCUGCUCUUCACAGAAGUCUUGUGCUAACAGUAUUUGGGGAGUUGAGGGAGAGAGCAGAGUGAGGGAAGUCCUUUUCUUCCUUUUCCUUUGCUAAGACGGGGACCUUUAUCAAGAAAGAUGGCGUCCUUUAGCUCCAUGUGGUGACCCGUGGUGGAAUGAGUGGACGGUCUGGCCACCAUCCCUGCAGCAUUACCCGGCACCGCACUGUCUCUGCUGUAACCACACAGGUCUUCUUCAUGUGCUUUUCCUUAUACUUUGCAUACUCUGUUCCCUUUCCGGAAAGUCCUUCCAUUCCCCUCUGAUCAAGUGAAUUUCUUCUCCUCCGGUGGCUUUCCCUGAGCUCCCCGACUGGUCACUCUCCUUUGAUAGCCCCUUGUCAAGGGCAAGCAUCAUAGUUACAGUGUUCCAUUUAUUUAUAAAAUCAUCUCAUCAAUGUCUGACUCCCCUGUAGGUGCAGCUCGACGGGAGCAAAGACAUUGUUCCUUUUGGCAGCGUCGUGUCCCCUGUUCCUAGCAACAGGCCUGAUGUGAGUGAGUCGCAAUAAAUGUUUGCAGAGUAAAAUCAGGGCGAGAGCCGCAGGCUUCCGUGAGGGCAGGGUCAGAAGCAUCUCUGAGGAGAAAUACCUUCUCUAGAUGGGCAGAGGCAGAAGAGCCCUGUAGUAGAAAGCGGGGAACCUUGGGUUGUACACCCACUCCCUAGCCACCUCCUCUGUGCCCGGCAUGGACUCAGGCUGAGGACUCACAGUGAACUGGACUUGAGCCCUGGCCACGUGGCAUGCAUCUUCAGAGCAACUUCUCAUCAUCUAGAAGCUGACCAUGCUGUUGCUGCGACAGUCAUGUAAGCAUGACGCUGUGUAGUAGAGUGAGGUCAUAUAUAGUGUCAUGUGCAUUACAUGUAGUGCACUAUAGGUGCCGUACAUUCAUCAGUUCUCUUGGUUUUCAGACAACCUCUGAGGUAGGCAUUUUAUCAUCUCUAGUUUAUAGCUAAAGAAAUGGGGGCCUCAGAAAAAUGUAAGUUUCUUUUUCCAGAUUACUCACGUGGAACUGAACCAGAGAGCCUGAUCUAGGUGACACUGAAGUUGUGUUUUGGGAUAUCGGAGAUCUGUCUCAGUCACUUUCCCAUCACCGGGACAAAGUACCCAACACCCACAGCCUAAAGGAACAGAGGUUUAUUUUUCCUCAGAAGUUUCAGCUCAUGGUCAGCCAGCACCGAGGCAAGUGGCAGGACCAGGGUAGAAGAAAGCUGCCUGCGUCGUAAUGGGUGAAUCUGCAAAUGAGGACAGCGCUCCAUGACCCGGCCCCCUCCUGGAGCCCCACUACUGAGCAUAUGCGAGUGUGGGGCAAACCACUACAAGACAGCAAUGAACGUCGGGCAGAAAUGAAUGUGCGUCUAACCUCAGAGUCCAGUGUCCUGUCCUCUGGUCAGAGCUUCCUGUCUUUCCAGGCCUCCUCUGUCUCAUCCUCUGUCCCAGUUGGCAUCACGGGGAUCCUCAGAGCCGCGGUUUCUUCCCACCUGCUGCCUACUGGCCUCUUCCAUGUUAGCUCUCACCCAGGUUGAUCCCGCAUGGUCCUCUACUCUCACUGUGCCAGUCAGGGACAUCUCAGUGCCAUGGCAAUGCUCUCUCCUCCUGCACACCGGAUGGAGAUGGGGAGGACAGCAGAGGCGGUAUGCCCUGAGAACCACGCCUGGUGCUGUUACGCAGUAUACAUGAUAUUAGUGUUUUCAUUUACCUCUGAGUAGCUAACACUCUCAUGAAAUCUUGGCUGAACUUUAUCCAGCUCAGCUGGGUCCGUAAUGUGUCUGCCUGUCAACCGUGUUACUUAGCAGAGUUAAACGCCCACAUAGCUUUGAGUACCCUUCCAGGUCUUCUCUGCUCUUCACAAGCCUUCCGCUCCCCUACUCUCAUUUGCUUGUGGUCCACUCCCCUUUAUUCUGGCUGUAAAGCCAGCCUCUCACCGGUCUCUUGCCUGCAGUUUGGCUGAAUGACCCUAACUUCCUGGGCACAGUUGUUUGUUUGGGGAUGGGCAUUUAAUUCAAUAUGAAACAGUCAGAACCUUCCCUAGGAACUUGGGUGGAUGUCUGGAAAAGACACUCGUGCCUGUGAGGCUAUUGUUGCUAAGAAGUGCAGAAGAACGGAGCUGUGGGCACAGGAGAGGAGGUAAAGGCAGUGGCAGACAGCAGAGCUAAGGGGAAGAGAAUUCGCUGCCAUCACUUGCGUGUCUGGAUUGAACUACUCCCUGAUGACUGUAAACCCAUCUCAGUCAUGGAGACUAACAUUCCCUCUCUCUCUCUCCCUCCCUCCCUCUCUCUCUCUCUCUCUCUCUGAGUGUGGUUUCCACCCCUUGCAACUGAAAAGCCCUGAGUAAUAGACCUUGCGUGUAGCCGCUGGUGGACUGGAGAUUCUCCCCAUUGCUUUCCUUGACGCCUGUUUUGACAGCGUGUGGCCCUGUACCCCGUCAUCUCCCCCGACCUGAACCUCGGCUUUGCUCAGCCUUCCGCUCUGCCCCGCCGGGCUGUCUCACCCACACUGGUGUCUUCCACACUUUCAGGCAUAAUCCAUCCCCUCUCUCACAUCUUCAGCUGCUCUCUUUCCACUGCUCCUUUACUUAUAACCCAAAAUAGACACCUUUCCCCUUCUGCCAAGAGGGCCCAAAUGUUAUUUCUCAUCAUUAUCUUCACUUCCCUGCCUUCGAUUCCAGUCUCUGUUCACAGCUUUCACAUUCUGCUUCCCCUGGGUCACCAGUUUCAUACUGGCAAAUCCAGUGAUGUCUUGGAUGGAAGCUAGCUGGACCUGUCUUUCAUUGGACAACGCCUGUCACUUUACCCUGCUAUCUUUUCUGAGGCACCAAGACACUGCUUGUGAUGGUUUGUCCUGUCAACUUAGUUGAGUUGAGCGACACCUAGGAGACUAGGAAAGCACAUUCAUGGUGUGUCUGGGUGGUCCGACCUUGGGGACUACGUCCCCUGACCCUUUCUCUCUGGCUCUCUCCCUGUCUCUCCGCUUUGUGGAUGCUGUGGACUGAGCACCUUUCCUCUGUCUUCCCUUCCAUUGUGAUGUUUGUGUCUCGGAAUCGGCCAUCGAAAGAUCAAAACCUCUCCUCCUUCAAGUCGCAGGUGUCAGGUACUUUGUCCCGGCAACAGGAAGCUGGUUGAUACAUCUCCCAGGUGCCCUGAAACCUUCUUAGCCUCCCCUUGUCUGUCUCCACUGUAGGUUUCUCUUCUGUCCACUGUCCUUCUCCUAGGGUGACUUAACUACUCUGUGGUGUUAAUAUUUACCAUAUGCUGAUGACCCUUGUGUCUGCAUAGCCAAUCUAAUGCUCUACCUAGAAUUUUAAAUUUUGCUGCAUAUUUAUAUGUUGUUGUUCCAAGGACACCUCGCAUUCAAUUUAAUUAAAUCAUCACUCAUCUUCCCAAGUCUGCUUUCUGUUUUGUGUUCCCCUCUCACAGAGCACAGCUGCUGGCCAUGUAAGCCAAAUUCAGAAGUAUCAUUUUUCUCCUCCGACCUCCACCUCAUAACGCUCUGCUGACCUUCCAAAUCAUCAGGGAGUUGGUUUCUCUUCUGGUAGCAGGUACUGAUGGCCUCCUACCCAGCAAACUUUCCCUCUGCCUUUGCUCUUGCUGAGAAAACUUCAGUUUUGUUCCCGUGUCUACAAGAUGCUGGAAAGCUGUGUGCCUGAGGGAACCUGGCGUCUGCCCCAAAGGGUGAGUCUUCAUUUGUCUGCUCUAAGCCAACCAUGACUAUGGCCGAGGAUAACCCACAAAUACUUAAUUCGUUAUCUGCGCCAAAAUAUUUGACUCAUAUGAAGAAAACCAUCAUUAGAUUAUCGUCGAUGAAUAAAAACAAAGUGACAGGAAUUAUAAAGGGGACUGGGGAGGAGGAAAAAGAUCCUGCAGGCUCUCUGGGAAUAAUAAAUCUAUUUUAUAUUUUAGAUAAAUUGAUUAGCCAGCAGCUGCUUCCCAUCGUUCUGCUGCCCUUCAUCGUGCACUGGCCCUUCACCUUCUUCUCUAGGUUUACUUCCAGACUCAUCCAGCACAGGCAGGGGUACUGGACACCCUUCUUUUUUUUAUGAAACACACACACAACAUUGCAAGCUAGAUCAUGGAUGCUAGAUUAGAUCAUAGAUGUUAGAUUACAUCUGGUUAGAAAGGGAGAACUUUUCUGUUUAGGGGGCAAAAAAUAUGCAACCUGCUAAAAGCAGAACUAGCUGGGUAUUGUGGGAUUGACUACGGGUCCUCCAUAUUCUGAAAUUCUAGAGGUUCGAUUAUCUCAUCUGCAACAUUUCUGAUGUGUGGUUACUAGAGUUGCACUCUGGAAUAACUGGAGAGAGACUCGCUUGGGAAACACACACAACUAACCCCAUCAUUUACUUAGCGUUUGAGCAAGUGUUACACAGUGCUUUGUCAUAGCCUUGUUAAUUGACGCUUGCCCAGGGCCAGGAAUAAUUUACUGGACAAGACAGAAAGGCUCUUAUUUUAUUCAUUUCUAAUGUAUCCUUGGCACGGAGCACAAUAACCUGCAGAGCUUUCAAUAUUUCUCCCUAAAUUUUUAUUUUGAAAAACUUCAAGGACGUUGGAGUCAUCGUAUCCUUCACCUGGAAUCACCAGCUGUCAACAUCUUCCCAUGUGCGGCCCUCUCCCUCUCUGCUCUCCCCACGUGAACGCACAGCCCAUAUUUCUUUCGGCUGAACGACCCGGAAGUGAGUUGCAGGCCCCAUCACACCACCUCUUCGUCCCUUCGCACGCAGCUCCUGGGGAAAGGAUGCUGUCCCACCACUGCACAGCACGGUCAGACGCAGACCGUCGCACAUGCGUAUACAGUCUACAUUCACAUUGCCCUAAUUGUUCCAUUCUGAUCUUUUAGUUACUUUUUUCUCACCUGCAUAUGAUCAAGAAGGAUGCACUGAAUUGCCUGUUAAGUAUCUUUAGUCCCCUUUUGUCUAAAAACUUUCACGCCAUUAAUACUUUUAAAGAAUUCAGAUUUGGUAUUUUGUUGAAUGCUCUAAAUGAUUUACCUAUAUGUUGUUUUCAGGUUAAGCAUUUUUGGCAAAAAUUAUACAUGGGAGGUGCUGCUUUCUUCUCGGGACAUGAGAAAUUAUUAUCAGUGAUGUUUGAUCACUUUUCUCUCUUUUUGUUAUAUUUGUCAACUAAAUAAUUUAUGAGGGCCACUCUGUAGAGAUGAGAACAUUAUCUUUUUUAUUGAGCACUUCGGGAAGCGAAAUGAAGAAUAAGGAAAUCAUACACAUUUUUAAAAAAAAUCUCCAGUAAAAUAGCCAUGAUUCAAUUAUUUGCAUAUUUUCAUUAGAACAUUUUUAGCAUCUUGGGAAGCAGAAUUAUCUGCACAGUUGUCUCAAACCUGUAGUUCUCUCAAACCUGUAGUUCUCUUUGUUCACACAGACCCAUCCAGCUAAGUGUCAUCUAUUCUCUCCAAUGUGCAGACCAGCACAAAAGCUAAGUGGCUUAGUGCCCACACGGUGAGUGGGAAGGGAGAGUCGUCAAACAGGGCUGCAGACCAAGCAAGUCUUGCACUUCCUGGACUCAGUUAGCUCUUCUGCCUACUGGACAGACGGGACUUCGGGAUCUUCAAGGCAUUAUCAUUGUAAAGGUUCAUUCACAUCUGCAGUUAACUGCUAUAUACUCAGUUAUUCUGCCCCUAAUUCUACAUGCUUAUGCCUUGUGCAAGAUCAAAUUCAUAUUUUUUUCCUAACUUUAGAGAUAGGUUGGAACUGUGGAAAUGACCCCACACACCUGUCACCUGGCUGGCGGGAGCCUUUAGGUCCUGUGGCCCAUGUGUCUGUAGCUCGGGUCAGGUGUGGCUCUCCAAAGUCCUUCUCAGUGGCUGUAGGCCUCCCUGGUAACUCAUGAGGUCACCAAGCCCACCUUUUGGCUUCAGAAAUCCCUUCCUUCAGCCUCCCUCAGAGCUGGAUGUCUGUGCUGGAACUCAGAGCUCAGAGAUGCUCAGGAUGGAGACUUCCGGUGUCCUUCUGUCCAUGUUUACGCCCGUCGUGGCUCCUGAACAACACCAGGCUGUAACAUCCCUCGACCCCUUGCCUUCUGCCUACCUGGUUAUCAGUUGCUCACAUUGCCUGGGCAGUCACUUCAGCACUGCCCUUAAAUUUCCUCCAAACCCACAGCCUUCCCAAUUAUACCAGGUGUACUUGCACCAUUAUUUAGUUGCAAAUACUGCACGGCAGAGUGACAUAAGAUAGAAUGUAGAACAGCUGUGCAGGGAAACAAAAAUCAACUUGUGAGCAUUCUGCAAGGUGAGGGUACACUUUUUAGAAUAAAAAUGUGUAUUUCACUAUGUUGUAACUUGACCAAAAAACUUGUAUACUUGGUCAUACAGGAUAAUAAGGACGGGUCCUCCCAGUGGAACGAGAUCCUUGCCAACUUGCCCAUGUGAGCCUGAAAAUGUGAUACAUGAAUCGUAAAGCCUUAAUGUAUUGAGGACUGCAGAUAAGUACGUGUCCGUGUGGUGUAGUUCGAAGUUUAAGCUGAAGGAGGAACACAGUGAUUAUAGAUCACAGCUGUGACCCUGCAGAGAGUCUUGGGUAUCCAGAGUCAUGUUUGGAGAAAACAGACCGCAUGAGCUGAAGAGAGAACAAAUGCGAGUGUUUCCGGGUUUAUGGUGAUUAUGUCACAAAAGACAGAAAGGGAAGAGACAUGGAAGCCCUGGAGCAGGAGCACUUCCACAUAUCCUUCUGAUGCCCAUUCACAACCUCUCAAAAUGUGCUUUAAACCAGUUCUACUGAAACUUAUAUUGUUUUCAUUAACUAGGUGAGUAAUUUGUUAUGGAUAUGGCAAAUAAAUCAUAUGUUUUAAGUUUUAUGAAGUAUAAUAUCAUGUACUAAAAAUGCGUCCUGGGAGAUUUGGGAUGCAGAUUAAAAGCGAGAGCCUCAGGGCUUUCCAAGGGACCCUUCUUUAUGGGUUGGUGUGGUGGGAAGGAUAUAGGCUUUGAUCUACAUCCAAGUACUUGCAUUUAUUAAUUAAAUUAGCAGAAGGAAGUUACUCGAUUUUCCUCAGUUUCGUUAUUCUUAUCUAUAAAAUAGAGCUAAAAAUAAUAUCUGCCUCAUGAUGCUGUGACAAUCAAUUGAACUAAUACACGUGAAAGCACUCUGUAAGAUUUGAAGUCCAAUAAAAAAUUACUUUUUAGAGUAAGUGCACAACAAUGUUCAUUCAUCAACAUAGAAACAAUAGUUGGCUAUAUUUAUAGUACCACUCUUCCAGAUAGAAAUACUUGUAAGGUACCUAACUGUAAAUGACUAAUAUUAAGUGUUGGUGGUUAAUGUAACCAUAAGGCUAGUUCACACUUUGAAGUAAGAAUUAUUAGAUUUCAUGGAAAGAAAACUCAAUUUCUUUUCAGGGGGUUAUCAAAUGUUUAAAAUUUGUAUAAAACUGGAUUAAUAAACCAAGCAAGGCAAACUGAAGGAGAAUCCACUGUGACAUGACAAGUUUCAGGCUAGCAAUGAACUCUCACUUCCCAGAACCCUAAAGAUCACGGAAACUGUCUGAACGUCUGCUCUCCGCUGCAGUCACCCAGGGAGCCUCAAAAGAGCCUGCUGACUGAGUCUCCCCCAGAAAUUGUGCUGUUAUCGGUCUGAAAGGAAGCCCUAGUCAUUGUGAUUUAAAAAAAAAAAAUACCCCAGAUGAUUAUACUAUGGAACCAAAACUGGAUCAUUGAUGUGGUCUCAACAUUUGCCGGUCUCUACCGACUGGAAGACAUAAAUGCGUAACUUUUUGGUACUAUUUUUCCAGGGACAGAGAGAUCACCUUUUACUUAAGGACGCAUAGAAGGGAGCAAGAAGGCUGGAAGAAGAUAUAAAAGAAUCUCACCAGCAUCUGAAUAUCCUCACCUUCCUCGCUUGAGGGUGUAUGUUUUGUGCACUCGAUUUCUGGAUAGUUUGAACUGCAGAAUGGGAGGAAUGGGUAAGAAGAAAGAAAAACUGAUGAACAAGAAGGAUGCAGGAGAAGGAGGUUGUUUAGGACAACUCAUGGUAGCUAAACCUUGGAAGCAGGCUCUAUGGCCACCAACAGAUGAACAACAGUACUACUCUGUCACAAAGAAGGAUGAACUUGAGUAAUUGGUAGGCAAAUGGAUGCACCUUGAGACUGUAAUUUAAGGGAAAUAAAUCAGACAAACAAGCUUAAACACUGCAUGGCUUUCCUUAUAUGAGAAACCCAAAGUAUAAAUAAAGAGCAAAAUAUAAGAUAGAUAACCAGAAACA